AUGGAUCCUCUCUCCGCCCUCCGGGACUUCACCAUUCGCGGAGAGGUCGACAAAAUCGUGCGUGUCAACAACGAGUUCCGUUUCGGCUCUGAUUAUUCCUUCCCUUGUUCUAUAAAAACCGCCUAUCGCUCCAAGCAAGGCAAUCUCUACACUCUCGAAACCCUAGUCUACUUCAUACAAAACGCCAAUCUCAAGUUCACCGAUUACUUUCAAAAUGCAGUAGCAGCCGGUAUCCCCGCCAUCACAUUUAUUGACCGUAAGCCUCUAUUCGAUUACCUUACCGGAAAACUCUCCUCCACUGAGUCCAUUGUUUUCCCUCUUCCAGAACAGCAACAGCAACUUCAACAACCAAACCAAAACCCUAGUUCUGAUCUAACCCACGAGUACCGACCUGAUGAUCCUGUAUUUAUUGAUUCUCAUGAUGCUGACGUGGCCGGAGCUGAUAAUGCAAAAGAAGAGAAUUAUAUUACUAUGAUAUACUCCAUGGAAAGGCCUCUCAAGGAUCGGGAAUCGUUGUUGGAGUGUAAAAACAGAGACUUUUAUAGCGUGUUGGUUGCUUCUACACGGCGUGAAGAGGAAAGACAGAGACUUGAAUCUCAGCAAAGGAAAGAUGGAUUGGUGGCUAAGAGUAGAUUGAUGGGGGCUGAUGAGAGGGGAAUUGUGUAUGGUGAUGAUAUGGGUUAUGAUUCAACGCCUAAACCCAAAAUGCAUUUGAAAGGUGGUAAAUUUGGGGAGGGAGUGCCUAUAAUUUUGGUUCCUAGUGCAUUCCAGACUUUGAUUACUAUUUAUAAUGUGAAGGAGUUUUUGGAGGAUGGAGUUUAUAUACCCACAGAUGUGAAGGUGAAGCAGAUGAAAGGGGCGAAGCCAGAUUGUGUUACAGUGCAGAAGAAGUUUAGUACUGAUAGGAACAGAGUGAUGACUGCUUAUGAGGUUAGAGAUAAACCUUCUGCUCUCAAGGCUGAAGAUUGGGACCGGGUUGUGGCAGUUUUUGUUUUGGGGAAAGAAUGGCAGUUCAAGGACUGGCCAUUCAAGGAUCAUGUUGAGAUAUUUAACAAAAUUAUUGGAUUUUUCAUGCGUUUUGAGGAUGACAGCAUUGAAUCAGCUAAAACUGUGAAGCAGUGGAACGUAAAGAUCAUCUCGAUUAGCAAAAAUAAGAGGCACCAGGACAGGGCUGCAGCAUUAGAGGUGUGGGACAGACUAGAAGAAUUUGUUCGAUCGCGAUCCCAUUCUUGAAGUUCGUAGUGGAGGAGGCUGUUCCUUUUUCCAUGAUGCAUUCAGACACAUUGUUAUAGCGUAGUUUGGCCAGUCAAGUGUUUAAUUUGGAUGCCUUCUGUUGAGCUGCAUGUUAUUUCAACUGCAUUCCGGGGACUGCUUGUUGCCAGACUGUUAUAUAGUUUACUGUGAUUAGGCUAACAUUGCUUGAUCUCUGGAUGACUUUUUUUCUUUUCUUUUUGAUGCACUUUGGCAUAUUUGAGUUCACUAUCUUGCCCUGUCUGCCUUACCUUUCAAUUUGCCAGUUAUUUUUGGCUCUUUAAGUAGCUUGCGUCAUUUAUCUGCAGGCAUUUUUCUGGUUGUCUGUGUGAUGUUGAAUGAUCACCUUGUAUAAUUGAAUAGUCAAUGUUUAUUCUAUUUCUGGUUCAAUUCAUGCUGUGGGAUCCAUCUUGACGUUUUCUGUAAGAUGGAGACUUUUUUUCUUCUUUUGAUGAUAUGAUGCGGGCAGAGCAAUGGGAGAGUAUUUUGUUCAAGUUGAAUGAUUCCAAAAGAUUCAGAAGAAUAGUUGGAUCUGUUGCUGGUUCAUGCUUAACAGCAGCAACACCUUCACUAGCUUCAAUGAACCAAGCAGCAUGCUUGAUAGCCCUGGAUAUAGUCCAGGAUGGCAUUGCAACAUUGAAUAAAGUGGAAGAAGCUUAUCGGCAUGAGAAGAAAGCUAAAGAAACAAUUGAAGAGGUGAUUCGUUCAUACUCAUUGUAUCAGCUUGAAGAUACUCUGGAUGCUGCUGAGGAUGGAGCUGAUGAGAACAGAUUACUUCCAGCAACGAACAAAUUAUGGCCUUUCAUGGUCACCUGUGUUAAAAAUAAAAACCCAGUGGUACUUAUUCAUAUUUUCUGCUUUGAAUAUGAUAUGGAAACUUCUGUCUUGAUUACUAUUAA